ensembl:lncRNA
UUAAAACUGCUACUUUCUCACGUUAUAAAGAGAAUAUCAGUGGAGUCGGACCAGUUGUGCCAUCUUCUGUGUGGUAAAGAUCCAGUUCUGCUCAGUGAAUGGCAGAGAUUUCCUUGCUGAACAGCAGGGCUGGCUGGGUGUCCCAUCAGAAAUGCCUACAAAUAGCGUAUUCACAGACUGAUUGGAGGACAGCCCACCUCUGACCAUCUCUGUGUUUAUAAAUCCUGUUUGGACUAACGUGAUAUUCAGGGGAACGCAGGUCUUGACCACACACACUGUCAAUACAGGACCUUGGACUUGAACUUUGUGCCUCGGACUUCAGCUUUGUGAGCCCUCAGACAGCCCUUCUGCAGCUGCAUCAGGCCACACACAGUCACAGCUCUCAGCUGGGAGACGACAGGCACAAAGCUGGCACUGGCUCUGUGAUUACUUCUCUGCAAAGUCAAACAGGGCCAAAAAUAAAUGCUAGUGAAGGAAUAAACAGACGUGAAAAGAAGGCUUGGACACUUGGAGGACAAGACUGCUUUGUGUUCCCCAAAGCAAUAAGCCUCUUCACAAGGAGGUUACUCUUUCAGAAAAACACGGGUCCUGUGACACUGCCAAGGUCAGUAGGUGCCCAGCAGAGCAGGGAGCAUUCAAGGCAGACGUGGUUUGGGAAAGGGGCAUAUUUGCUCCCAUUGAAAGAGAGGAGAGAGGAGAGAAAUUUACAUUGCUCUGCCAUGUCAGCUCUUUCUACAGGGUUUGAACACGCACCAGUUUGGCAGCAGAAGGCAGCUUCCACCUAUCUCAGAUGGCAACGUAGCCCCAGCACUGUGGCUGUAUCACUCGCAUGCUGGCUUGGGAAGAGGGCAGUGCUGCUGCAGUUCUGCAGCUGAGGAGGCAGGAAAAAUGACAUCUCUAAUGGACAAAUCAGUGGUGUCUGUGUGAUGCUGGAAGAGGGCAGGUGCGUUGAUAGGGAUCACACAGCUUCUUGCUUGGCCUCCUUCCUGCAGCAGUAAUCUUUGCCAUGCAGUGAAGGGAUGGAGGAUGGCUGGUGGGGCCUCCCGAGUGGGGCUGUGCUCUGAGCUGCCAUGGGGACAAGGUGCAGUCCAGGCCUCCGAAUUCCCUGUAAUGCAGCAUGCAGGAUGUGACCUCAGGAGUGCUGGGGGUCCUGCUAAGGAGAGCCGCCUUCACAGAAGGCAAACGAGGUGAAGACACUGCACUGGCUAAAUGAGGAAACAGUCUGCGGCUUCGUACGCAGGGCCAGUCUCAGAAAUCAAAGGCAUCAAAGCAGAAAGUCCUGAACCAAACCACUCCAAAAGCAGCGGCCUGCAAGGCAGCCCUGAGCAGCACGGGUUUCUUUGCUCCCAGCCCAUCCAUAGCUGACAGAAGGGUGCCUUUCUUGUGCCCUUUACCUCCCUUACCUAGUCACACAGCCGCUGGGACCAGGAUUGGCUUUUAGGGCUUGCUUACACAGAGCAGUUGACUAUUCUGCAAUAGCUGCUGCAGGAUGACUUCAUGUGAACGCGCUCAUUCCGCAGCGGCUGUUGGAGCUCCUGAUUCAUACCAUACCUUAACUGGAGUCGCGUCAGCAAGUCAGCGUGCAUUACAAAGUUAAGCAAGACCUGGGACCCAGUCUGGGGUUUCUAGUCACUUCUCCUUUACAUAGAAUUCAGCUCUAACAGAAGCAGUUGAAAUGUUCCUGAGAAUGACAAAUAACAAAUGAGUAAUGCUUGCUCCAGAGCCACGUAGCCCAAUUAAAAAUAGGUAAGUGAUGUGCAAAGGCAAGUCUGUGCAGUCCGGGGAGAGAGAAGGGAAAAAAAGAAAAAUAGGCAUGCAUUUCUAAUCUGUUGGCACAGCCACGUGAAGCAGAAUUCAUUGAUAAACAUACCAAUUAAUUGGUACACAAAGCCCUUUCAAAAAGGUAAUGACUAAAGCAACCAGACGCUGGGAAAAGGACAGUUACUGUUGUGGAGCCAGCUUAAUUUGGUUAUCCAUCUCCCUUGGUAGAGUUAUUAAAGGGGGAAAAGCUUUGAACACUGUUGUAGGGUUCAGUGAAAAUAAAAACGCAACACAUACAAGCUCUCAGAAAUGCAAACAAGGUGUUAGAAUGCAUGAUGGAGGAUAAUUGAAUAUUACAGUUCUGUUUAACAAAUUGCUUCUCUUUGUGCAAUUACUGCAUCUCCGUCUGCCCUAAGCAGGAAUGGAGCUCAGAAUGAGGCGAUGGGGAUGAGCAGAGAGCUGCGACGACUGAGAGCAGUUCAGCAGGAAGAGGAGGAAAGCAGGGAGUUAGCAAGGAGAGGGCAGUUCCCAGCGUAAUGAAAGGCAUUAAGUCUAAAACCACCAACGCUUUCCCAAACAUGAAAAUUGAAUACUGAGAGAGAAAAGAAAAAAAAAAAAAAAGGAAGAAAUGCAGAUGCAAUAAUGUAAGAAGCUAGCACACAUCACUGUCCUGGAAUCUGAGAAAACAAGCUUUUUAAAUACUUCUGACUGAAAGCAUUUAUGGCAGCGCAGCCCUGGGAUGUUAGAGGAAAGGACAUGAGCAGGAGCAUUGCAGGAUGGAGCCCUUCUGUCGGCAGGCACACAGCUGUGCAGGACAGGGGCGCAGUGACAGGCAGGAGCUGCCCAGGGGGGCAGUCGGUGCUCCCUGCUGCCCAGCACGCUGGUGAUGCUGCACGGCCACCUUCCCACAUCCCGUGACUGUCCUGCAACCAGUGGAGUAAUUUCUAAUGCUAAGUAAAGGACCGGUGGCUCGGGGUGCACCCCCCCUGCUCCCCAACACCUUGCUCUUAACCAGCCACGCUCCUGCUGGAGUGCUGCGGUCAGGGGUCGUGUCUCCAGGGUUGGUUUGAGAACGUCUCUGGCUGCAUUUUGAUGUGAUAGCCAGAAAUGAGAGACAGAUACAAGAGGGAGGGAAAGUGCUUGGUUUCUUUCAUUUCUCUCACUUUGCCUUCCAGUUCUCAUGCCCUGAGAUUCAUGCAACAGUGCACUCUCCAUACCACAAUUAACAGUGAAUCUUUUCCAAUCCACUCUGACAGAAACUCCUCCCCCAGCCUGUAACACCACUCCAGCUUGCAAGCAAGCCUUCCCAAAGGCAGACCUGCCCUACCGUGCUCGCCCUGCGCCCAGCACUCGUGCUUACCUUCCAGGCCUCCCUGUGCCGGAGGUCACAGUUGACCAUUGCAAGAACAAUAAGGAUUUUUAGGGGCAUUAUGACUGGGUUAGUAAAACACAGCUGCCCCUGAAAGUCCCUCAUUUUUCUUGCUGCCGCUCAGUCCCCUCCACGUCCCUAGGAGGGCAGAGGUCUGAUGGGCUCCUUUCGCUCCAGCACGGCUCUGCCACCUCAUGCUGGCUUUGCUGAUCUGCCAGCAGCAGCCCAGCCGUGCUGACCGGCCGUGACACAGGCAGUGGAGGUGCAGAACUGCUUUGUCAUCGCUGCAGGCUCCCUCCUAAGCAAACGCUGCGCUGCACUUCAGCGUAACGCCAGAUGGCUCGUCUGUCACUCGGCAGAAAUGCCAUCAGGCAAAGCACACCUCACCGUAAGCAACCCUCAAAUGCCCCCCAAAUCACCAGGGCAAAAUGAAGCAAUGGCCUGUCCUGCCAGCACUCAGUGCACCGCACUUUGCCCAUUAAACACAGGGAUCCCAGCGCCGGUGAGCACCUGCUGUGUGUGCACUGUGACGCAGCCCCGCGGCGGUGGGAGGGGGUCACAGCGCCCGCCCAGCUGCACGAGCAGUUGUUCUUGAUUUAUUAAUAAAGCUGAGGGUUCAAUUAGGUAAUUGCCACUGAUUUCUCAACCACUUUCAGUUUAUGAGAUUUUUAAGAGCUAUAUUUUUCCUACUAAAAAGGUGCCAAGUGGUUGGCUGGGAAUUUUCAACCUCAUUUACAAAUCCUCUUGGAAUUCCCAGCCCAACCCAGCAUGUUCAUAGGGCAAGGAGCAGCACUUUUCUUUUAACUCCUUGGUAAUUUGAAUGUUGAUGGCAGUGGACUCAACAAAAUCCAUAGGCAGAUUCCCAUGGGUGCUCCUGCCCUGCUGUUUCCCUGAGCUCACUGUGGGGUGCUGGAUGGGCACACCAGCCCCAUGCAUGCUGUGGGAAGCCCCGUGGGCUGGGCAAGCACUCUGCCCUUGAGGACAGAGCUCUGGGAGCUGCUCCGGGGCUCCCGGGGCCUUUGGAGCAGAGCAGGGAACCACUGAGGACUCGCAGCGCUAUUUUUUUUCUCCCCCUCUUGCAUUAAAAAUGCCCUGCCCCUCAACGAAGGACCCAUUCCCAGCAGUUACAGGUUAGGACAAACACGACACUGUCUCCAUAACCCACAAAGUGUGCUACGAGCAGCCAUCUCACACAGCUGGGGUGCCCCUGUCCAGGGCAGGCCCAGGCGCUCUGCAGGGCUCACUUGCGCUGUGUUACAUCCAGCCUCAGAACAAUGGGGCUGAGCUGCAGAGCUGCGCCGUGUUUGGAGUUGCUGCCGUUCAAACAUGCCAUCUCCAGGGACACGGACGGGGCCGGCGCAGCUGUUCUGCAUGCAAUGGGAAUGCUGAGGUUCGGGCAGCCCAAGGUCCCGGCCACGUGCAGCACAAGAUGAAUAUCCUCACCUGUCUCACCAGCGAAUGAUGCUCCAUGGCAGCAGCCAGCCUGGCACACAGCAAAUGCCUCAGCCCCUCUCAUUGCUGUACGAAGCCACACCUAAUUUUCAUUUAGAAUUUCUUCUAACGCUGGGAAGUUAAAUGAAAGCAACCAUUAUGCCCUGAUUUGGUAAUAAAACAUGAGCUGUGAUUCUGAUCCAAACAUUAUUUGCAUCUUUAAAAAAAUAAAAAUGUAACAGCAGUAUCUUAAUAAAAAAAAAAAGGAGGAGCCCCCUGAAUGCUGAUGACGUUGGUGUCCUAAAUGAAGCAUAAAAGCCAGAUCCUGUGAGAUGCAAAGCAUGAGUCAGAGUGUCAGCAGCCCCACACUGCAAGCAGCGCUGCUGCUUCAUUCGUUUAAGGAAUCAAUUCCUUUGCCAUGAGCACCAAGUAGUUUCUACGACUAAAAUUAAAAUGAGAUGCAUGCCGUUAUUAUUUUCAAAAGGUUCUUUUUCUUUUUU